AUGUCUUGUAUAUAAAUAAUGUAUAUGUAUGUGGAGCUGUACUCACGCUUCUCGUCUGCCAUCUUUUUAAUAGUAACAGUUUGUGUGACCUAAAAUCCUUGUUGGGAUAUGGUUAAUAGUUCCCUGGGUGAAACUCCUGGGGUUUCGUAGUCAGACCUCCAGUAGAAGAUAUUUGGAUUGAGGUAUAGAAUUUGGUUAAUUGCCAUUUCGUUUCUUUCAUCUCAUCUUUUCACCUAUACUGCCACACUGAGAUCAGAGCAAUUGCUGAUCGAAUAAGGAUUUCACUCAAACACAUUAGAGUUUGGUAGUGAUUUCUCAUUUUACUGGUGAAUUUACACUAUACUGUCUUCACCCUUCAUAAGCAUUUAUUUACAUGGGAUAAGGAUUGGUUAACGUUUAUAAUUAAAAUACUUAUAAUGACAUUACAGCUGUAUUUCACUUUCUAAAUACUACAAAAGUGAAUUGGUUCAGUUUGCUUUUACUUCAUAACUGCAGUAGCAUUUCCAGAAAAUCACCUGACAGUUAUAGUGGGAGUGAUUUGUGAUGUAACCUGUUUAUAUCCAGAUAAAAGUACGGUUGCUGUACAAGAGGACUGUUGAUGUGUUUAGAUCCCUAUCUAAAACCUGACACAUUAUGACACUGAAAAGGAGCUUAUGAAUUUCUAAAACAAAUAAGGUUUCAGCAACAAGAGCUGCGUUCUAUUUCCAGCUAGAAACACCAUGGCAGAGUGCCAGUAUUCUUCUCUUGAGAAUGAAGACUCAGUGGAAGAACAACUAAAUAAAAUCAAAAGAGAGAGCAGAUCAAUAGAAGGAUUCAUCACCAGAUAUAUUCUAAACACCAGGACUGUAACUGAUGAUGAAAGACUGAAGAGAGUGGCAUUUGGGGUAAAACAGAGCAAAUCCCAUAAAACCAUAUUAAUAGUUGGAGAAACAGGAACAGGAAAGUCGACUCUCAUCAAUGCCAUGGUCACCUGCAUGCUUGGUGUUGAGAGUAAAGACAGAAUGUGGUUUGAGAUCAUAGAGACAGAAGACGACCAAACUGUUUCUCAGACUCACGCAGUCACAGUGUAUGACGUGUUUACUAAACACUGCUCGCUCUCUCUGACCAUCA